GACGAACGCUGGCGGCGUGCUUAACACAUGCAAGUCGAACGGAAAGGCCCUGCUUUUGUGGGGUGCUCGAGUGGCGAACGGGUGAGUAACACGUGAGUAACCUGCCCUUGACUUUGGGAUAACUUCAGGAAACUGGGGCUAAUACCGGAUAGGAGCUCCUGCUGCAUGGUGGGGGUUGGAAAGUUUCGGCGGUUGGGGAUGGACUCGCGGCUUAUCAGCUUGUUGGUGGGGUAGUGGCUUACCAAGGCUUUGACGGGUAGCCGGCCUGAGAGGGUGACCGGACCAAGGGGGUACGGGAGGCGCCCACACACCCUGCGGGGGGCAGGGGGGGGGACUAUUGCACAAGGGGGGGGGGCGUGAGGAAGCCCCCCCGGUGGGGGAAUGCGGCUUUUGGGGUUGAAAACCGUUUUCCCUGGCGAGGAAGGGGGGGGCGCUGAAUGGGGAAAAAACCCCCGCUAACCACGCG
rnacentral:rRNA from 1 species